CUGGAGGCUAUGUCAAAAGAGUACGUAGAGCGAGUGGAGGAAAUUGUCAAUGCAGCUGAAAAUCGUUCAGCGCGCUCCAAAAAGUCGACCAAGAGCAAGGGCAAGAAGAAAGCCAUCGGAACAUGGACCAAAUCCAAUAACAAGUCCAGUUCUAAAUUAGAAGCGAAUACUCGUCUUUCCAUGUACUCUCUCGAGACUCUACGGCCGAAUCCUG